CCUACGGGUGGCAGCAGUGAGGAAUAUUGGUCAAUGGGCGGGAGCCUGAACCAGCCAAGUCGCGUGAGGGAAGACGGUCCUAUGGAUUGUAAACCUCUUUAGGCGGGGAGCAAUGCCGGGCACGCGUGCCCGGAGGGAGAGUACCCGCAGAAUAAGCAUCGGCUAACUCCGUGCCAGCAGCCGCGGUAAUACGGAGGAUGCGAGCGUUGUCCGGAUUUACUGGGUGUAAAGGGCGUGCAGCCGGGAAGACAAGUCAGAUGUGAAAGCCCGCGGCUCAACCGCGGAACUGCAUUUGAAACUGUGUGUCUUGAGUACCGGAGAGGUCAUCGGAAUUCCUUGUGUAGCGGUGAAAUGCGUAGAUAUAAGGAAGAACACCAGUGGCGAAGGCGGAUGACUGGACGGCAACUGACGGUGAGGCGCGAAAGCGUGGGGAGCAAACAGGAUUAGAUACCCCAGUAGUC
rnacentral:rRNA from 1 species